rnacentral:rRNA from 1 species
GAGUGAAACGGAGAUUAGCCCAUCACCGAAGUCUAUUCACACUUGUGGACAGGACAAUGUGGUGUUCAAGCGUGCACCUGGGAACGAUUGCCUACCCGAAGUCCAUCUCCGAUUAUGGCUUCGACUGUGCCCAGAGCGGGUGAAAGGCCCGUGCGGGUAGGCUUGUGGAUAUUAUAAUCGUUCCUCAGAUGUGUAUGCUUUCGAGUCGGAUUGCUUGAGAAUGCAGUCCAAAGUGGGUGGUAAACUCCAUCCAAGGCUAAAUACUGGCACGAGUCCGAUAGUAGACAAGUACCGUGAGGGAAAGUUGAAAAGUACUCUGAAGAGAGAGUAAAUAGCACGUGAAGCCGCUUGCAGGGAAGCUGGUGGAGUCAAGCUUCUUGUCGAGAGAAUUGUCAUCAGAGGAUUAUUGCCUCGGGACGUGGCGCUGGUCAGCCUGGAAACGGUUUGGUGCGUGCAAACGCAUUUCAAGUCAUUCUGGGAAGAAUGAUUGUGCUGGCGCCUAUCUUCCACCUCUGGUGCUUUAUUCUCCAUGACAUAC